UACGGGGGGGCAAGUGUUGUUCGGAAUUACUGGGCGUAAAGGGUUUGUAGGUGGCUUGCUAAGUCAGACGUGAAAUCCCUCAGCUUAACUGGGGAACUGCGUCUGAGACUGGCAGGCUUGAGUGCAGGAGAGGAACGCGGAAUUCCAGGUGUAGCGGUGAAAUGCGUAGAUAUCUGGAGGAACACCGGUGGCGAAGGCGGCGUUCUGGACUGGUCCUGACGCUCAGGAGCGAAAGCGUGGGGAGCGAUCCGG
rnacentral:rRNA from 1 species